UACGUAGGGACCAAGCGUUGUUCGGAAUUACUGGGCGUAAAGGGCGCGUAGGCGGCACUGUUAGUCAGGCGUGAAAGUCCUGGGCUCAACCUGGGAACUGCGCUUGAUACGGCAGAGCUAGAGGAUGGAAGAGGGUCGCGGAAUUCCCAGUGUAGAGGUGAAAUUCGUAGAUAUUGGGAAGAACACCGGUGGCGAAGGCGGCGACCUGGUCCAUUACUGACGCUGAGGCGCGACAGCGUGGGGAGCAAACAGG
rnacentral:rRNA from 1 species